CAUUAGCUAGACGGCGGGGUAACGGCCCACCGUGGCGACGAUGUCUAGGGGUUCUGAGAGGAAGGUCCCCCACACUGGAACUGAGACACGGACCAGACUCCUACGGGAGGCAGCAGUGAGGAAUAUUGGUCAAUGGGCGCGAGCCUGAACCAGCCAAGUCGCGUGAGGGAAGACGGUCCUAUGGAUUGUAAACCUCUUUUGUCGGGGAGCAAAAGACGUCACGUGUGGCGUUCCGAGAGUACCCGAAGAAAAAGCAUCGGCUAACUCCGUGCCAGCAGCCGCGGUAAUACGGAGGAUGCGAGCGUUAUCCGGAUUUAUUGGGUUUAAAGGGUGCGCAGGCGGAAGAUCAAGUCAGCGGUAAAAUUGAGAGGCUCAACCUCUUCGAGCCGUUGAAACUGGUUUUCUUGAGUGAGCGAGAAGUAUGCGGAAUGCGUGGUGUAGCGGUGAAAUGCAUAGAUAUCACGCAGAACUCCGAUUGCGAAGGCAGCAUACCGGCGCUCAACUGACGCUCAUGCACGAAAGUGUGGGUAUCGAACAGGAUUAGAUACCCUGGUAGUCCACACAGUAAACGAUGAAUACUAAUUGUUCGGGGAGAAUGAUCCCUGAGUGAUACAGCGAAAGCGUUAAGUAUUCCACCUGGGGAGUA
rnacentral:rRNA from 1 species